rnacentral:sRNA from 1 species
GCCAAGCAUGGUGGCACAUGCUUGUAAUCCCAGUGACUUGGGAGGUUGUGGCAGGAGGAUCACAAGCUUGAGGCCAGCCUCAGAAACUUAGUGAGGUCCUGAGCAACUUAGUGAGACCCUGUCUCAA